GGAAAGGGCAGUAGCUCACUGGGAGAGCAUCUGCUUUGCAUGCAGAAGGUCCCAGAUUCAAUCCCUGUCUAACUCUUCCU